UACGAAGGGUUCGGAUAUGUUGUGGAUUCCUGUCCUCUAAGUAAAGAAAAUACAACUGAGGCAGCUACGAGAUUGAACUGUAGUGUUGAUGAACAUGGACGUAGUCAGUAUGUGUGUGUUCCCAAUGAAAACCUAACAGCCAUUGUAGAAUUCUGUUAUACCAAGUCGAUUGUUGGACUCUAUCAGGAUGGUCAUUGUUUGAAAACAAUUAGAGAUGGAUUUUUGGACCAGAUCAGCUGUAAAAACUUUACAGAAGGAUGUCCAGCAGAACAUUAUAGAAGUACAGACCUGUACAAAUAUCCAGCUUGCAGCCAUCUUAACACAGAGGACCGAUGUUUUCUUGCAGAUCCCUCUUGCAAUUC